rnacentral:rRNA from 1 species
AACAGGAUUAGAUACCCUGGUAGUCCACGCCGUAAACGAUGUCGACUUGGAGGUUGUUCCCUUGAGGAGUGGCUUCCGGAGCUAACGCGUUAAGUCGACCGCCUGGGGAGUACGGCCGCAAGGUUAAAACUCAAAUGAAUUGACGGGGGCCCGCACAAGCGGUGGAGCAUGUGGUUUAAUUCGACGCAACGCGAAGAACCUUACCUACUCUUGACAUCCAGAGAACUUAGCAGAGAUGCCUUGGUGCCUUCGGGAACUCUGAGACAGGUGCUGCAUGGCUGUCGUCAGCUCGUGUUGUGAAAUGUUGGGUUAAGUCCCGCAACGAGCGCAACCCUUAUCCUUUGUUGCCAGCGGUUCGGCCGGGAACUCAAAGGAGACUGCCAGUGAUAAACUGGAGGAAGGUGGGGAUGACGUCAAGUCAUCAUGGCCCUUACGAGUAGGGCUACACACGUGCUACAAUGGCGCAUACAAAGAGAAGCGACCUCGCGAGAGCAAGCGGACCUCAUAAAGUGCGUCGUAGUCCGGAUUGGAGUCUGCAACUCGACUCCAUGAAGUCGGAAUCGCUAGUAAUCGUAGAUCAGAAUGCUACGGUGAAUACGUUCCCGGGCCUUGUACACACCGCCCGUCACACCAUGGGAGUGGGUUGCAAAAGAAGUAGGUAGCUUAACCUUCGGGAGGGCGCUUACCACUUUGUGAUUCAUGACUGGGGUGAAGUCGUAACAAGGUAACC